CCUAAACCGACACAGGUGGUCAGGUAGAGAAUACUAAGGCGCUUGAGAGAACUCGGGUGAAGGAACUAGGCAAAAUUGUACCGUAACUUCGGGAGAAGGUACGCUCUUGUUUGUGAAGGACUUGCUCCGUAAGCAAACGAGAGCCGCAGUGACCAGGUGGCUGGGACUGUUUAUUAAAAACACAGCACUGUGCAAAAUCGUAAGAUGACGUAUACGGUGUGACACCUGGCCCGGUGCCGGAAGGUUAAUUGAUGGGGUUAGACAUUUGUCGAAGCUCUUGAUCGAAGCCCCGGUAAACGGCGGCCGUAACUAUAACGGUCCUAAGGUAGCGAAAUUCCUUGUCGGGUAAGUUCCGACCUGCACGAAUGGUGUAACCAUGGCCACGCUGUCUCCACCCGAGACUCAGUGAAAUUGAAAUCGCAGUGAAGAUGCUGUGUACCCGCGGCUAGACGGAAAGACCCCGUGAACCUUUACUACAGCUUGGCACUGAACAUUGACCCUACAUGUGUAGGAUAGGUGGGAGGCUUUGAAGCACAGUCGCUAGAUUGUGUGGAGCCGUCCUUGAAAUACCACCCUUGUAGUGUUGAUGUUCUAACUUAGGUCCCUAAUCGGGAUUGAGGACAGUGCCUGGUGGGUAGUUUGACUGGGGCGGUCUCCUCCCAAAGAGUAACGGAGGAGCACGAAGGUUGGCUAAGUACGGUCGGACAUCGUACGGUUAGUGUAAUGGUAGAAGCCAGCUUAACUGCGAGACAGACACGUCGAGCAGGUACGAAAGUAGGUCAUAGUGAUCCGGUGGUUCUGAAUGGAAGGGCCAUCGCUCAACGGAUAAAAGGUACUCCGGGGAUAACAGGCUGAUACCGCCCAAGAGUUCAUAUCGACGGCGGUGUUUGGCACCUCGAUGUCGGCUCAUCACAUCCUGGGGCUGAAGUCGGUCCCAAAGGGUAUGGCUGUUCGCCAUUUAAAGUGGUACGCGAGCUGGGUUUAGAACGUCGUGAGACAGUUCGGUCCCUAUCUGCCGUGGGCGUUUGAGAAUUGAGAGGGGCUGCUCCUAGUACGAGAGGACCGGAGUGGACGAACCGCUGGUGUUCGGGUUGUUAUGCCAAUAGCAUUGCCCGGUAGCUACGUUCGGAAUCGAUAACCGCUGAAAGCAUCUAAGCGGGAAGCGAGCCUCGAGAUGAGUUCUCACUUUAACUUAGAGUUAACUGAAGGGCCGUUGAAGACUACAACGUUGAUAGGCGAGAUGUGGAAGUGCUGUGAGGCAUUGAGCUAACUCGUACUAAUUACCCGUGAGGCUUAACCAUACAACGCCAAAGUGGUUU
rnacentral:rRNA from 1 species